rnacentral:siRNA from 1 species
UGGGUCGAUAUUAAUUUGGAAUG